GGCCGUGAUUUCCUCUGCCCGACGCUGACCCUCAUCUCCUUUGCUCGGUGUCGUCGGCGCAGAGCCGGUCUCUUUCGUUCCGUCGGCAGCAGCCUUUCACCUUGCCCUAGAUCGCCGGAAUCUGGAAGCUUGGGUAGGUCUUCGGUUAGGAGCAGCAACCCAAGACUUGGUGUCCCCUUCCAUGCCCUAAUUUCACUGUGGGGUCUUCGUUUGGUUCCGGCAGCACUCCAGGCAGUAGCUCCCCUUGUUCCAGCAUCAAGAGGGGCUGUGAAUUGAGGUAGUUGUCGACGGAAGCUUUAGGAUGGUGAGGUGGAUUUCCAGCAGCCCACAUUGUUAUAGCUGUGAAUCUAGGACUUUGACGCGAGACGAGUA